rnacentral:misc_RNA from 1 species
AACGCACGAGACCUGCGGACCUGCGGAGGGAUCAUUACCGAGUGCGGGCCCUCGCGGCCCAACCUCCCACCCUUGUCUCUAUACACCUGUUGCUUUGGCGGGCCCACCGGGGCCACCUGGUCGCCGGGGGACGUCGUCUCCGGGCCCGCGCCCGCCGAAGCGCUCUGUGAACCCUGAUGAAGAUGGGCUGUCUGAGUACUAUGAAAAUUGUCAAAACUUUCAACAACGGAUCUCUAGAUC